rnacentral:rRNA from 1 species
AUUGAACGCUGGCGGCAGGCCUAACACAUGCAAGUCGAACGAGCGGCGGACGGGUGAGUAAUGUAUGGGAAUCUGCCUGAUGGAGGGGGAUAACUACUGGAAACGGUAGCUAAUACCGCAUACCAUCAGAUGAACCCAGAUGGGAUUAGCUUGUAGGUGGGGUAACGGCUCACCUAGGCGACGAUCCCUAGCUGGUCUGAGAGGAUGACCGGCCACACGGGAACUGAGAAACGGCCCAGACUCCUACGGGAGGCAGCAGUGGGGAAUAUUGCACAAUGGGCGCAAGCCUGAUGCAGCCACGCCGCGUGUAUGAAGAAGGCCUUCGGGUUGUAAAGUACUUUCAGCGGGGAGGCGUUACCGACAGAAGAAGCACCGGCUAACUCCGUGCCAGCAGCCGCGGUAAUAC